CCAGGAUGUAUAAUGGUCAUUUCAUAUGAUUCUAUUUUGGUAACACUAUUUGACAUAUGAGAAACGCAAAGCAACAGAGACAGAGUAAUGCAAGCUAAUGGCACGCCUUUGUUCUGCAGAUAAAGAAAUUGAGGCAGACAGAGGUUAGAGGAUUUGAACUGAUGUUGCCAGGACUUGAAACCAGACAGUGGCUUAUAUUAGAGUCUGUGCUCUCAGCUACCAUACUAUCUGCUGUUCUGCUGAUGACCUGGGGAAAGCUUCAUUCACUGGCAAAAGAGAACAAAGGACCAUGGAAUGUGGAACCUUGCCCAGCCUGCUGCUCAGGAGGCGAUUGCUCAAGGCUGUCUUAUGCAGAGGAGGUCAACAGUUGACCCAUGAACCAUUUAAACUGGAAGGAAGAAUUAACCAAUACCCUGAGAGAUUGACUACAACUACUUUUCCCUGAAAGUUGGAGUGCAGAGUACAGGAGAGGAAGGCCACUUACUAAUUUUCCUGCUUCCUUCACCAGUCCUCUACCUCUCCAUACCUAAGGUCCUUCACUCAAUAUACUCAAGUCUUCUCUGCUAUGACUGCAUUCCCACAUGCCACGGCAUAUAAAAGGUAGGAUAAGGAGUUCCAUCACUUCACACAAGCAUCUACCAGGAGGAGGAAAAUAAAAACAACAUUUUACCAUCAACUUCG
rnacentral:lncRNA from 1 species